rnacentral:tRNA from 1 species
UAGGAAGUGGUGUAUUGGAAGCACGGAGAGUUUUGAUCUCUCAGGGAGGGGUUCAAACCCCCUUUUUCUAA